GACAUGUAUUACUUAAAUAUGAGACAGCACAGCAGUGUGCUGCACCAGCCAAAAAAGCUAAUACAAUGCUUGGUUGCAUAAACAGAGGCACAGAGUCAGUAUCACAUGAAGUAUUGGUACCACUUUAAAAAACCUUAGUAAGACCACACCUCGAUUAUAGAAUCCAGGUUUGGCCACCAAAUUAUAAAAAAGAUAUUGAGAGUUGGGGAAAAGUGCAGAUAAGAGCAACUAGGGUGAUUAAGGGUUUGGAGACUAAAACAUAUGAAGAAUGGUUGCAGAAAUUGGAGAUGGCUACUCUAGCGAAAAGAAGUACUAGGGGUGACAUGAUAGCAGUGUUUCAGUAUCUGAGGGGCUACCACAAAGAAGAGGGGGUCUACUUAUUUUCCAUACCACCAGAAGGGAAGGGAAGAAAUGGAUGGAAACUAAUCAAGAAGAGAAGCAACCUCGAGUUAAGGAGAAAAGUCCUAAUUGUGAAGAAGGACAAUUAACCAGUGGAGCAGCUUGCUUUCGAAGGCUGUGGGUAAUUCAUCACUGUAGCUUUUUAAAAAGAGACUGGACAGCCACUUGUCUGAAAUGGCAAAGGGUCUCCUGCUUGAGCAGGGGUUGGAUGAGAAGACCUCCAAGAUACCUUCCAAUUCUAUUCUGUAACUAGCAUCACUUUAAGAGGCCUGAGGUAGAGAUAUAAAGCUGGGUGUCAUCUGCAUACUGAUGAUAUCUCACCCACAAACCAACAAAUCACCUCACUCAGUGGCUUCAUGUAAAUAUUAAUAGAAGAGGAGAGAGAACUAAAACCCUGAGGCAUCCUACACAGUAGGGCCUGGGGCUGGACCAUUCUCUCCCUCUAUCAACACCAACUGGAACCAGCCUGGAGAAAGGAAGACAAUCAGCACAAUACAGUACUACAUACACCCAAUUCCCAAAAUCAGCCCAGAAGAAUAUUAUGAUCAAUGAUAUCAAACACCGCUGAAAGGGCAAGAAGAGCCAGGAUGGAUGCCACUCCUGCCAGAGGUAAUCCAUGAGUGCGAUCAGUGCUGUCUCAGUCUCAAACCCAGGUCUAAACCCAAACUGAAAGUAGGCUAGAUAAUCUGCUUCAUACAAUGUUCUCUGAAGGGGCUAUGCAACCAUUCUCUCCACCACUAGAAAGGGAACAUUGGAGACUGAAUGAAAGCUUAUAUAGACAAGUAUAAUGCAAAAUUGUUGACUUUGUAUAUAAAUAUACAAAUAGGAUGAAGACUAUUGCUAACAUAGUGUAAGCCGCCCUGAGUCUUCGGAGAAGGGCGGGAUAUAAAUGCAAAUUUAAAAAAAUGGGACUUAUUUAUACAGAAUACAGUAUGUUAAAAAGAUAAUAUCACAAAUGUAUUAGAAAUAUAUGCAUAUUUGAAUAAUAUUUGUAUUAGAUAAGUAUAUAUAAAAUUAUAAGUGUUGUUGUCUUUUCUUUACGGAAAUUUGGUGGGAUGAAAUCCACAAAUGGAAUAUAAAGCUAGAGGGAUUUAAGAAGAGGUAGGGUUGCACUAUAUAUAAGAAAUAACUAAAUUUCUACAGAAAUAGAGUAGAACAAUUAUGAAAACCAUCUUGAAUGCAUUUGGGUCAAUAUAAAAGGAGAAAAAAUGACAGUGCCAGAGGGGUAUACUAUAGGCCACCCAACCAAAUAGAGGAAAUAGUUGAACUUUUUGCUAGUCAGUUAACUAAGGUAUGUAGGAAGCACAUCACAAUAGCAACGGAGGACUUUUUAGCUAUCCCAACAUCAACUGGGAGACAAAUUCUCCACUAAAUGGAGGAUUAAACAGGUUCCUGACAAACCUAGCAGACAACUUUCAUCUCCCAAAAAGUAGAGAAGGGAACUAGGGAGUCAGCCAUAUUAUACUUCUUUAUGGAUGGAAACUAAUCAAGGAGAGAAGAAACCUAAGGAGAAAUUUCCUGGCAGUUAGAACAAUUAAUCAGUGGAACAACUUGCUUCCAGAAGUUGUGAAUGCUCCAGCACUGGAUGUUUUUAAGAAAAAAUUGGACAACCAUUUGUCUGAAAUGAUAUAGGGCUUCCUGUCUGAGCAGGGAGCUGGAUUAGAAAACUCCAAAGUGCCUUCCAACUCUGUUAUUCUUCCUCAUAUUUCUUUUGCUUCUUUUGUUAAAGCAUUUUAAUGUCUCCUCCCCCCCACAUUUCUGACAAUAUAUCUACCAUCAUUCUAUUUUUGUGUGUUGUUUUCUUUUUUUAUUAUUAAUUAAGAAGCAAUAAAAUAAACUAAAUGUACUAAUGGUCAAGAAGUUCAGGAAGCUUGCUAGAAAAGGAACAAUGGAACUGAUGUGGAAAAAAUGUAACUAAAGAUCAGGACAGUGAACAGGAAAGGUAUGAAAUAGGAGAACUACACGGGAAAUGAUGGGAAAACAGAGGAAAACAAUGAUUAGCACUAAGUUUGGAAGCAUUAAGUUGGUGAGAAAGAGAGAGAAAAAUAGUGCCUAGAUGGGAAGCCAAGUAGAAUAGAAUAGAAUAGAAUUUUAUUGGCCAAGUGUGAUUGGACACACAAGGAAUUUGUCUUGGUGCAGAUGCUCUCAGUGUACAUAAAAGAAAAGAUACGUUCAUCAAGGUCUUUUGGGGGCCUGGAACUGGAACCCAAGAAGAGAGCUGGCAAAAGGAAGAAUAUUUUGCAAAAAUCCCAAGGAAGCAAGCAAUUUUGACUGCACUGAUUGGAAUAUUUUUGAAGAUACCUCUGCAGACCUGGAUGAACUCACAGAUACUGUAAUACAUGUCAGCUUCUGUGAAGACCUAUGUGUACCGACAAGGAACUUGCGAAUAUACAGUAACAACAAAACUUGGUUCACAGCUAAACUUAAGCAGCUACGUCGUUCCAAAGAAGAAGCCUACAGAAAAGGCGAUAAAAUGCUGUACAAUCAGGCCAGAAAUUUAUUAACAAGGGCGAUCAGAGCAGCAAAAAGAGAAAAGCUAAAGAAUCAGUUCUCAACAAAUGAGCCAGCAAACAUAUGGAAAACUCUUAAAAAUAUCACUGGCUAUGGCAAACCUCCUUCCCAGGCUGAAGGAAAUCAACAACUGGCAGAUGACCUGAACGUGUUUUACUGCAGGUUUGAAAGGAAACUACAGCCACCUAUCUCCACAACCCCCAUCUCAAGCCUCCUACAACUGACCCCUUCCCAUUGGGUUCACAACCCCUAGUGAUCACAGAAAAGAAAAGUACAAGAUCUAUUUCACAGACAAAAGCCAGGAAAAGCUCCAGGCCCAAACAAGAUAACUCCUUUUUGCUUAAAAGUCUGUGUUGACCAAUUGGCUCCCAUCUUCACCCAUAUCUUCAAUAAAUCACUAGAGAUGUGCUAUGUUCCUUCUUGUUUCAAAUGCUCUACUAUCAUCCCAGUGCCGAAGAAGCCCACCAUCAAGGAACUGAAUGACCACAGACCAGUUGCUCUAACAUCUGUAGUCAUGAAAACCUUUGAAAGGCUAGUGCUGUCCCACUUGAAAACCAUCACAGAUCCACUGUUAGACCUCUUGCAAUUUGCAUACCAAGCAAAUAGAUCAACAGAUGAUGCUGUUAAUAUGGCUCUGCACUACAUCCUACAACAUCUUGAAUCUCCAAAGACCUAUGCAAGGGUCCUCUUUGUAGACUUUAGUUCAGCACAGGGGACCCCCAAGGCUGUGUGCUCUCCCGACUCUUCUUCUCUCUGUAUACCAAUGACUGCAUCUCUAACGAUCCAUCUGUUAAAUUACUGAAGUUCACAGAUGACACAACAGUGAUCGGUCUCAUUCGAGACAAUGAUGAAUCAGCAUACAGACGGAAAGUUGAACGACUAGCCCAGGGGUGUCCAAACUUUUUUUGGUGAGGGCCAAAUACAGAAAAAUAAGCAA